rnacentral:tRNA from 1 species
GCGCGAGUGGUGGAAUUGGCAGACUCGCUAGAUUCAGGUUCUAGUGCCCGUAACGGGCGUGGGGGUUCAAGUCCCCCCUCGCGCACCA